GUCUGGAUGGCUCAGUGGUCAGAGUGUCUGCCUCGUAAGCAGGAGACACGGGUUCGAAUCCCGAUCCAGUACA